rnacentral:miRNA from 4 species
UGAGCUGCUGUACCAAAAU